rnacentral:sRNA from 1 species
UGCUUCUGAGCUGCACUAUGACAGCGAAGACUUCCACUUCUCAGGACAAUGGGCAAUAGGAGUAAAGAGAAUUGAGGAGGACAGCAUCAGGGCCUGUAAGAUACCCAUGAUGGUUCUUGCAAUCUCACGAGAUGGGAGAUGGCUAAGGGAUAGCACAUCAGACUAGAGAAGACAAAGGGAUGGAAGACGAAAAGUACACAACAGGAGCUGAGACCAUGGGAUGAUGCCACCCACAUUCAGAGUCUACCUUUCUUGGUUAACUCUAUGGUAAUGGUAUAGACAUUUGUCUCAGUUAGCCCAGACAUGAGCAAAAAUCUUCAUACUCUUGACACCAUGCCUUCUCUCUCAUGGAUGGAGCUGAGCACGUGGCAAGUAGGAGGAAGGGAGCCCUACACAGAGAACCCUACUGUGUACGGUAAAGCUCUGGACCUUAAAGACCAGCAGGGCAGGGAAGAUGAAGGUCAGUAGAACCUAAUCAGGAAGGGGUGAGAAAGAAACAUGAGACAUUGUUCCAUAUUUCCCACGGGUCAUGGUAGAAAGUUGACUGUGAAAAAAGAAAACCACUGAAGGAAAAUCUAAUAAGUGUUACAGAAAUAGUGGAACCAUCUGAGAGCCCUACAUAGUUAGGUGACAGAGUAAUUCCAACUUCAGAGGCCAGUGUUCUAAACCAGGGAUCAGUAAACCAUGACUGCAGGACCAAUUUGGGCCUCCUUUCUUCCUUUUAAACAUAGAGUGCCACUGGAAGAUGUCCCUUCUGUGUCUACUUUUUUUGUCUUGUAUGACUGACUACAUUCCUACAUAAAGAACUGGCUGCUUUUAACAGACAGUGCAUGGCCUACGGGCCCCACAUUUUUGCUAUCUUGCCCUUUCAUAAAAUCUAUUGUCUCCUGCACUAGUUUGUGAACCCCUGGUAGACAGGCAUAGUAUCCAUUGGGUCUUACUGUCUCCCAUGGCCAAUCAGUGACUGGUAUUUAGCGGAAUUCAAUCAGCACCUGCAAAUGAACAAGGAGUAGGAGGGGUGGUACAGAGUGUAGAAGUGAACAGGCUGCAGAUUGAAUGGGUAGGGUCAACUGGGGACAAGAGACAUAAGUAGAUGUGGACAGGGUAUACAGACAAAGAAAGUGACCCAGCUGGACAAGAAAUCAGAGUAUGCAGAAGAAGCAGGUGUCACACUGGAAUUCCCUGGGACUUGAUUCAGAAGAGCCUUGAACGCCACCAUCAUUAAAUGCUCAGGACCUUUAAGUGGCUGAGUUAGCAGUCAGAGAGGCACUGAAAGAGACCUGCUUUUCCAAGAUGAAGAUUGUAAUUGGUUAUUGAUGUCCUAUUUGUAUGCUAAUGCUGCUCAAUAAAACAGCGAAACCAUA